GAACGCUUGGUGCAGUGGUAGCAUAUCUGAUUCCAGUACGUAACUUAGCAAUUAGUUACGGAAAUCCAGAUGGUCACUGGUUCAAUCCCAGUAGCGUUCA